AUCCAAGGUGAUUCCGAGGAGCCUACUAAUGCCCUUCUCAGGAAUGCAGCCGCUUGGAAGAAAACUUGGCACGUCUAAGGUCUUCGGGGAGUGAGGGAUACGUAUUUCCUUUGCCUCAUUUUGGCUGCCUACAUGC
ensembl:snoRNA